UCAAGUUGGUGUGUGAAAAUGUGGGUUAAAUUCCCCAAAGAGGCCAACCCCUGAAUUUUAGUUCCCACCAUUUAAGGUGGGCACUCUAGGAUGACUGCCGGUGACAAACCGGAGGAAGGUGGGGAUGACGUCAAAUCAUCAUGCCCCUUAUGACCUGGGCUACACACGUACUACAAUGGCCGAUACAACGGGAAGCGAAACCGCGAGGUGGAGCCAAUCCUAUCAAAGUGAGAAAACAGUUCGGAUUGCAGGCUGCAACUCGCCUGCAUGAAGUCGGAAUUGCUAGUAAUCGCGGAUCACCCUCCUUGUUGUGAAUACGUUCCCGGGUCUUGUACACACCGCCCCUCUUUUUCACGAGAGUUUACAACACCCGAAGAAAGGUGGGGUAACCGCAAGAGCCCAGACGUCGAAUGGGGAGAAAGUGGGAAUUUU
rnacentral:rRNA from 1 species